rnacentral:rRNA from 1 species
CCCUUAGAUGUUCUGGGCUGCACGCGUGCUACAAUGGCGUUUCCAGCAAGUCUGCGAACCCGAGAGGGCCAGCGGAUCUUCGAAUUGGCGUCGUGAUCGGGACAGUCGAUUGCAAUUAUUUGACUCAAACGAGGAAUUCCUUGUAAUCGCGAUUCAUCAUAUCGCGCUGAAUACGUCCCUGCCCUUUGUACACACCGCCCGUCGCUCCUACCGAUUGAGCGAUCCGGUAAAUGUUUUGGAUUGGUGCCGGGGCGGCUAGCUGCCGGUCGCUACGAAAUUUUGUGAACCUUAUCACUUAGAGGAAGGAAAAGUCGUAACA